UACGUAGGUGGCAAGCGAUACUCGGAAUCACUAGGCGUAAAGCGCAGGUAGGCGGUUGGGUAAGUCUUUUGUGAAAGCUCCUGGCUUAACUGGGAGAGGUCAAAGGAAACUACUCGGCUAGAGUUUGGUAGGGGAUACUGGAAUUCCUGGUGUAGCGGUGAAAUGCGUAGAUAUCAGGAGGAAUACCUAUGGCGAAAGCAGGUAGCUGGGCCACAACUGACGCUGAGCUGCGAAAGCUAGGGGAGCAAACAGG
rnacentral:rRNA from 1 species